rnacentral:rRNA from 1 species
GAUGAACGCUGGCGGCGUGCCUAAUACAUGCAAGUCGAGCGAACGGACGAGAAGCUUGCUUCUCUGAUGUUAGCGGCGGACGGGUGAGUAACACGUGGAUAACCUACCUAUAAGACUGGGAUAACUUCGGGAAACCGGAGCUAAUACCGGAUAAUAUUUUGAACCGCAUGGUUCAAAAGUGAAAGACGGUCUUGCUGUCACUUAUAGAUGGAUCCGCGCUGCAUUAGCUAGUUGGUAAGGUAACGGCUUACCAAGGCAACGAUGCAUAGCCGACCUGAGAGGGUGAUCGGCCACACUGGAACUGAGCCACGGUCCAGACUCCUACGGGAGGCAGCAGUAGGGAAUCUUCCGCAAUGGGCGAAAGCCUGACGGAGCAACGCCGCGUGAGUGACGAAGGUCUUCGGAUCGUAAAACUCUGUUAUUAGGGAAGAACAUAUGUGUAAGUAACUGUGCACAUCUUGACGGUACCUAAUCAGAAAGCCACGGCUAACUACGUG